GCUGGCGGCAUGCCUUACACAUGCAAGUCGAACGGCGGCACGGGAGCAAUCCUGGUGGCGAGUGGCGAACGGGUGAGUAAUACAUCGGAACAUACCCUAGGGUGGGGGAUAACGUAGCGAAAGUUACGCUAAUACCGCAUACGCACUAAGGUGGAAAGCAGGGGAUCGCAAGACCUUGCGCUCUUGGAGUGGCCGAUGUCAGAUUAGCUAGUUGGUGGGGUAAAGGCCUACCAAGGCGACGAUCUGUAGCUGGUCUGAGAGGACGACCAGCCACACUGGAACUGAGACACGGUCCAGACUCCUACGGGAGGCAGCAGUGGGGAAUUUUGGACAAUGGGGGCAACCCUGAUCCAGCCAUGCCGCGUGUGUGAAGAAGGCCUUCGGGUUGUAAAGCACUUUUGUCCGGAACGAAACGGUCUGCGCUAAUACCGCGGACUAAUGACGGUACCGGAAGAAUAAGCACCGGCUAACUACGUGCCAGCAGCCGCGGUAAUACGUAGGGUGCAAGCGUUAAUCGGAAUUACUGGGCGUAAAGCGUGCGCAGGCGGGUUCCGCAAGUCAGAUGUGAAAUCCCCGGGCUCAACCUGGGAACUGCAUUUGAAACUACGGGGCUAGAGUGUGUCAGAGGGGGGUAGAAUUUCCACAUGUAGCAGUGAAAUGCGUAGAGAUGUGGAGGAAUACCGAUGGCGAAGGCAGCCCCCUGGGAUGACACUG
rnacentral:rRNA from 1 species